AAAACAACAGUGGCCUGCUUCCUGCUGGAUCUUUGUCUGAUGGUACAGAAAACAAAGUUUCUCUGGAGUGCAACAGAGAAACUACAAAUGUAAAUGUAAAUUUGCAGGUCCAAAUUUAAAGACUCACUGACUCCGUUGAUCUUUUGCUCAAAGUUGGAACAACUUCAGACUGAAACUGGACUUUAAAUGAGGACAAACUGCUGGAACACAAGAUAAUGCCAGAUUUGGAAAAUCUCAUUUGUCCAAAGAGGAGAGUAAUUCCUGCUGUGAAGCUACAGCUAAAGAUGAGUGGUUCUGGUAAACAUUCUGGAGACGAUGUUUCACUUCCCAGAAAUCAACUGAAAGGAAAGACGAAGACCAGCCUGACUGGAGUCUCAUAGUUUUGGACCAAGUCUGAGCAUCUGGAUUAUUCCACAUUUCAGCACCAACAUUGAUCCAUGAACAUCACAGAAAACACAAAACACAGCUUGUGUAUCUUUGGCUGUUGGUGGUGAACACAGACCUCCCAAGAUCACACGACUGUCAGGAUGUUUUUAUUUACUGUUAGAAAAAGGUCUAAUCUGCAUACUGAAGAUGUAAAUAUAUUUUAGUGCUAUUUUUGCAUGACUGGAUGUUUUUACAUACUCUGAGUUUAUGUAGAAUGUGACGUCUUUUAUCAUUAAAUUAGCUAUGAAGAUAUAACAGCAGGUAGCCUAGUAUUAGUCAAUGAGCUUUAAUCUAAUCAUCCAGAUAGUCACCAUUUUUCAGUGUCGUAUUCAGAGUUUGCUGGUUCAUGCUCACAUUCCUUUUACUUUAUCUGUAGUAAAACUAGAAAACUACAAGUUAGAGAGUGGAUCUUCAGCCUGUGUGUGUCCUUCAGCUGAGUGUCUUUUCUAUCAUGCCACAUCUGUUCAUGUGAAAGUGAAAGCAGCCUGUAUAGGAUCUUUAUUUUUAGCUUCAAUGUACAUUUGCAUUUCUUGCCUCAUUUGUUUCCAGCUGCUCUAAUAUUUAAAUAUCUCCUGUAAUAUCUGACGUUCACAGUGAAGUUCACAGCUCAGAUACAGCUUCAAAUAAAAGUAGAAACAUGAGGGAGAUACUUUAGUUUGGUUUGGAGCCUCUGCAGUCAGUGUAGCUUUAACAGUAUUCAGCCCGCCUUCAGACAGACCGUGGGAGGUUUACAUUCCUGUGGUUCUCAGUUCUGCUGCAGUGAACUUUGUGGUUUGUUUUUUACUCUCUGGUAUGCUUGUUGGUUUUUCUGCUGUUAUUGCUUUCGUUCUAGUUUAACAAGCUGCUGAAGGCCUAAGAUGGAACUUGAACCUUGUGAGUCACACCUAUGGUAACUAGACCAGAGGAAACCAACAGUGAUGAGGGCUCCUCCCUAACAUGCUCUAAUGUUUGGAUCACAUUGCAGGCGGUGGUUGUUUUUACUAAAACUGUAACAUCCAGUUCUACUCACUGCACCAACAAUUAGAAUAAGACGGAAAGCAACCUAAAGCUUCAGCGGCAUCGUUGUCAUGGUUACAGCCAGUCAGAGUUUUAAUUUCAUUUCUUGUUUUGCUGCUCUGGUUUCGUUGGUUCAUUUGUUUUUGUAACUGUUUUACUGAAGAUUCCUUUUAUAAUGUUA